AGUGGGAUAGCUGGGUCAAAUGGUGGUAUCAGUUUUCUGAGGAAUCUCCAUACUGCCUUCUAUAGUGGUUACACCAAUUUGUAGUUCCUCCAGCAAU
rnacentral:pre_miRNA from 1 species